AUGCAGAAACAGGUAAUGAUACUGAUGAGAAGUUUAACAGGAAGGAACAUGUUUCACCUGCUUGUCUCUCUCCAACAGCCUAUUUUUCUAACCCACACCAUAAGCCACAUGUUUCUGUUCAUUUUACAGUUACCGUCAUGUUCAAUUUUGCAUUCCGAUCAGUUAUUUAUUUGCUUACAGUGA